UAACAAGGUUUCCGUAGGUGAACCUGCGGAAGGAUCAUUAUUGAAACAUUGUAAAGGAGAGUUAGAGCUGGUCCUUUUCUAGGGCAUUGUGCUCGCUUUUCUUUCAAUCUUCAUCCACCUGUGCACUUUUUGUAGAGUUUUAGCUUGAGAAAACUGGGUCCUCUAGGGGGCCCAAAAGUAUUGGGCUGAUCUCUAUGUCUUUAUAAACCCUUGAAUGUAUGUCUUUGAAUGUCUUUUAUAAGGGGCUUAAUUGAACCUUUUAAAAACUAUACAACUUUCAGCAACGGAUCUCUUGGCUCUCGCAUCGAUGAAGAACGCAGCGAAAUGCGAUAAGUAAUGUGAAUUGCAGAAUUCAGUGAAUCAUCGAAUCUUUGAACGCACCUUGCGCCUCUUGGUAUUCCGAGAGGCAUGCCUGUUUGAGUGUCAUUAAAUUCUCAACUUCAAAAGCUUUAUUGCUCUUGAAGCUUGGAUGUGGAGGCUUUUGCGGGCUCUUGACAGAGUCAGCUCCUCUUAAAUGCAUUAGUGGAAACUGUUUGUAGUCCCCACAUUGGUGUGAUAAUUAUCUGCGCUAUUGUGUCCUACAAGCUCUUUGUAGUGUUCGAUUGGGGAGUUGCGUGAAUGCGCUCUUUCUGUUUUACUUUGACCUACAACUGAGUAUAGUAUCUGCUUCAAACCGUCCUAAGUCACUGGACAACAUUUUGACUAUAUUGACCUCAAAUCAGGUAGGACUACCCGCUGAACUUAAGCAUAUCAAUAAGCGGAGGAAAAGAAACUAACAAGGAUUCCCCUAGUAACUGCGAGUGAAGAGGGAAAAGCUCAAAUUUAAAAUCUGGUAGCUUCGCUGCCCGAGUUGUAUUUAGAGAAGUGUAC
rnacentral:rRNA from 1 species